rnacentral:sRNA from 1 species
UCCCUUUUUAGCAAGAGCUAUGUAUGGG